ACGGGUGAGUAAUACAUCGGAACGUAUCCUGGAGUGGGGGAUAGCCCGGCGAAAGCCGGAUUAAUACCGCAUACGCUCUGAGGAGGAAAGCGGGGGACCUUCGGGCCUCGCGCUCAAGGGGCGGCCGAUGGCGGAUUAGGUAGUUGGUGGGGUAAAGGCCUACCAAGCCGACGAUCCGUAGCUGGUCUGAGAGGACGACCAGCCACACUGGGACUGAGACACGGCCCAGACUCCUACGGGAGGCAGCAGUGGGGAAUUUUGGACAAUGGGGGCAACCCUGAUCCAGCAAUGCCGCGUGUGUGAAGAAGGCCUUCGGGUUGUAAAGCACUUUUGUCCGGAAAGAAAUCAUCGGGGCCAAUACCCCUGGUGGAUGACGGUACCGGAAGAAUAAGCACCGGCUAAUUACGUGCCAGCAGCCGCGGUAAUACGUAGGGUGCGAGCGUUAAUCGGAAUUACUGGGCGUAAAGCGUGCGCAGGCGGUGCUGUAAGACCGAUGUGAAAUCCCCGGGCUUAACCUGGGAACUGCAUUGGUGACUGCAGCGCUGGAGUAUGGCAGAGGGGGGUGGAAUUCUACGU
rnacentral:rRNA from 1 species